CGGGGAUUAGUGGCGAACGGGUGAGUAACACGUGAGUAACCUGCCCUUGACUCUGGGAUAAGCCUGGGAAACUGGGUCUAAUACCGGAUACGACUCUUCACCGCAUGGUGGGGGGUGGAAAGCUUUUGCGGUUUUGGAUGGACUCGCGGCCUAUCAGCUUGUUGGUGGGGUAAUGGCCUACCAAGGCGACGACGGGUAGCCGGCCUGAGAGGGUGACCGGCCACACUGGGACUGAGACACGGCCCAGACUCCUACGGGAGGCAGCAGUGGGGAAUAUUGCACAAUGGGCGAAAGCCUGAUGCAGCGACGCCGCGUGAGGGAUGACGGCCUUCGGGUUGUAAACCUCUUUCAGUAGGGAAGAAGCGAAAGUGACGGUACCUGCAGAAGAAGCGCCGGCUAACUACGUGCCAGCAGCCGCGGUAAUACGUAGGGCGCAAGCGUUAUCCGGAAUUAUUGGGCGUAAAGAGCUCGUAGGCGGUUUGUCGCGUCUGCUGUGAAAGACCGGGGCUCAACCCCGGUUCUGCAGUGGGUACGGGCAGACUAGAGUGAUGUAGGGGAGACUGGAAUUCCUGGUGUAGCGGUGAAAUGCGCAGAUAUCAGGAGGAACACCGAUGGCGAAGGCAGGUCUCUGGGCAUUAACUGACGCUGAGGAGCGAAAGCAUGGGGAGCGAACAGGAUUAGAUACCCUGGUAGUCCAUGCCGUAAACGUUGGGCACUAGGUGUGGGGGACAUUCCACGUUUUCCGCGCCGUAGCUAACGCAUUAAGUGCCCCGCCUGGGGAGUACGGCCGCAAGGCUAAAACUCAAAGGAAUUGACGGGGGCCC
rnacentral:rRNA from 1 species